AUUUAAAAUCAACUUUAAUAUGAUUACCUUAAUAUAUGUGUUUUUCCUAAACAAUCGAACAAAAAUGAACAGAGGGAGUAUAUAUAUAUACACAUAACACAU
rnacentral:sRNA from 1 species